rnacentral:rRNA from 1 species
UACGUAGGGCGCAAGCGUUGUCCGGAAUUAUUGGGCGUAAAGAGCUCGUAGGCGGUCUGUCACGUCUGCCGUGAAACCCGAGGCUUAACCUCGUGGCCUUGCGGUGGAUACGGGCAGACUAGAGGUAGGUAGGGGAGAACGGAAUUCCCGGUGUAGCGGUGAAAUGCGCAGAUAUCUGGAGGAAUACCGGUGGCGAAGGCGGCAUCCUGGACCGACAUUGACGCUGAGGAGCGAAAGCUAGGG